GAUGAACGCUGGCGGCGUGCUUAACACAUGCAAGUCGAACGGAAAGGCCCAAGCUUGCUUGGGUACUCGAGUGGCGAACGGGUGAGUAACACGUGGGUGAUCUGCCCUGCACUUCGGGAUAAGCCUGGGAAACUGGGUCUAAUACCGGAUAGGACCACUUCUUGGAUGUUGUGGUGGAAAGUUUUUUCGGUGUGGGAUGAGCUCGCGGCCUAUCAGCUUGUUGGUGGGGUAAUGGCCUACCAAGGCGUCGACGGGUAGCCGGCCUGAGAGGGUGUACGGCCACUUUGGGACUGAGAUACGGCCCAGACUCCUACGGGAGGCAGCAGUGGGGAAUAUUGCACAAUGGGCGCAAGCCUGAUGCAGCGACGCCGCGUGGGGGAUGACGGCCUUCGGGUUGUAAACUCCUUUCGCUAGGGACGAAGCGUUUUGUGACGGUACCUGGAGAAGAAGCACCGGCUAACUACGUG
rnacentral:rRNA from 1 species